rnacentral:misc_RNA from 1 species
CGUAUGACAACAGGACAAACACUGUCCUCCGGUCAACACGGGGCACGACAAGCUUCAGUAAGGGACAAGUAACUCGAUCAAAGAGGGGAAAUGAACCCCGACCGAUCAUCUUACUGCAUACAAGACUUCGAGCGACACAAGGGCAUCCAAUGCCCGCUAGCUAAAACAGCAAAGCGAGGACGGACUUCCAAGUGAGCUUCGAGUUCUAUGUGCACCAAACACUUAGCGCAAGAUAGAGAAGGGACAUUGGGACUAGAGAAUUCCUUCAAAUAAGGUAUGCUUCACAGGGGGCCGAGUCGACCGAGGCAAAUGAUCAGCACUCGAUCUAAAUUGAAAAGGUGUGAACCAUUGAUUGUCGCUGCCGAGGCAGGGAACCAACCAAACGGAACAUACC